UGCUACAGAUUCAUUCUUUCAAGCUACAUCAGAACCGGUUCAGCACACACCUGCUGCACAACAACAGCCUCUGCUUUCGGCCUUCAGUGGGUUUAUUAAAAAUCAAUGUAGAUGGGGCUCUUUUUUCAUCAAAGAAGCUAGCUGGGAUUGGUGUUGUGAUUAGAGAUGUGGAAGGCAGACUAAAGGCCGCUUUAUGCAGAAAAAUUACAGCUCCAUUGGGAUCACUUGAAGUUGAAGCUAAGGCCUAUGAGGCUCUAAGCGACUUACACUACCACCCUCUUCUGUUGGUGCUAUUAUGGAAGGCAUUCAUGAGUUAGGUGUUGAAAUUGGUGUUAUUCAUUUCUCUCAUGUACGCAGGACUGGCAAUAAACCAGCCCAUAUUCUAGCAAGACAAGCUCAAAACCUUGUCAAUGAUGUAAUUUGGAUUGAAGAGAUUCCUUGCUGUAUUCAGCAAGUUCUUAUCCAGGAUGUAUUUGUACUGUAAUGUUGUUAUAAUAAUAGUUUUGGUGUGUUUUCUAUCAAAAAAAAAAAAAGAAAAACAAAGGGAAAGUAACAAAUCAAUGCUACGUCGACGCUUUUCUCUACCUCUGUCUCACGUUUGCCUCUCUAGAUUCCUCUCCUCCAAUCCAACCACAAGAAUCGUCUGGCGUCUGCUAAUCAAAACCAUACCCACAAGAGAAGAACCAGACAGUGGCGCACCCACAACCUCACAUCGGCGGCGCUUCUUCUCUUCCAGUCCAACUCGGCGGCGCCGCUCUCUAGCUUCUUCUUUUCCAAUCCAACCUCAAAUUGUUUUGUUUGAGUUUCGGUUCUUAUAUAUUUGACAAAUUAAUCUUUACACUUUUGAGUAUGGGAUGUGAGACGUGAAACUUGAGUGAGACCUAUUGGCUCAGCUGAUUUAGGAACACAUUAUUAUAAUUUUCUUUAAUAGUGAAAUGUCGAUGGGACAUUUACUAGAUAUAAGAUGAUUUUUUUUUUUUCAUCUGUUAGCCAUUUUUGUUAAACUUCAUUAUUAGUUAUUGUUAUCACAUUGUUAGUUUUUGGAAUAGAGUUACUGGAUUGGAAUUUGUAUUAAGUGAUGUUUUUGUUAAACUUCAUUAUUAUUUAUUGUUUUCUCAUUAUUUUUGCUGAAUUGAUUUCAGUGUAUUUUUUGUGAUACUUAACCAGAUUAUGGCUGAGACUUUGUUUUUGCCUUCUCUUUAUCACAUUGUGCAGCGUCCUGUGGAGCACCCAGAGAAAUUCUAGAAAUUCGGAAUGUCACCUAGAAAAGGGAUCCUUUUCUAGAAUGGUUCAUAUUCCAUUGUGCCUAAAACUCAUUUAUAUCUAAAUUGCUAAACUAUUAUAAUUUCACAAUGGCACCUGAUUGUUGAUUUCUGCAUUCUUCCUUGGACUUUCCUGUAGAGAAGUUAUUUUAAACAAAAAGAUCAGGUUGAUCAUGCUGAGUUGGAUCACUUUGGUUGCACCUGAAAAAAUGAUGCUUCUCUUAUUUUGUGUUCAUCUUAUACCCUUUUUUUUCUUCCCCUGAAAUUUGUUGAUUGCUCUUUUAGCUCAGUUCAAAAGGCUUAUAUUCUAUUUUCAUUCUUCCUUUUUCCUGUUUAUAUUCCGUGCAAAUUUGGUAAAAUAGUUAAGGCUCCUCCCUUACCUGAUGGUUCUUGAUAUUUGUCUUUGUGGCAAACCUGUGAGGCUUCAUAUAUUCCAUUUCUUUUUCUUGCAGCUGGAUUAAAACUUUGGCUCUGAGUUGUUGAUAUUUUACAUUGUGUGGGUUACAUAAUUAAAUCCUGUUUAUUGAUGGUCUCUCAUUUUUCAUGUAAUAUCUUAAUUGUUGUUGCAGAGAGGAAGCAGUGUACACAUUUAAUUUAACGAUUGUUCUUGGAGGACUGCUCUUCCACUCAAAUACUGUAACUUUUAUGCUAGGGGAGUUGGCUAAUGGAAGUCCCAAGGCUGGGGAUUAUGAGGGAAACAGGCUACUUAUAAAUUAUCAUGAAAAUUUGAAGAAGUUCAAAAUUAUUUAUGGUUAUUAGGAAUGGAAAACACAAAAGUUCAAAAUUUUUCAUUUUAAUUUACAUAGGAAUGGAAAACACAAAAUUUCACUUACAUACUCAUCUGAAUGUUGCUGAAUAUAGUCAGUCAUUUGAGACCAUAAUUUUUGGGAAGGUUGGUCAGAUGUGGGAAGGAUGUCUCUCAGUAAUCACAUUUUCAGAUUUGGGCAAAAUGCAUUUCAGGGAUUCAUAUGAGAAACUGCAUCUCAUAUUAUUUUUGGUCAGUGCUCUCCACUUCCUGGCCUGGUUGCUUUGCAGAGAUGUCCAUUCUCAUUUCUUGACUGAGGAGCAAGUGCUCUCCACUUCCUGGUCCGGUUGCUUUGUAUAGUUAGGCUAGCCAGGAGUAUAAUAAUUGAAGAUGGCAUUGAACCCAGGCUUACAUGGAAUGCUGAUAGACCCCAUUUUGUGUCUGUAUAUCUGGUGAAUAGGGUCAGAUAAAAUAUUAGUUUUUUGCCUUACUCUUGGAGUUAGAACCUAUUUGUAACCUGCAAAAUGGCUUAUUUGGCAUCAAACUUUCUCGGUGUACAAUUUUAUCUAAAUAACAGCGCUUAAUUACUCA